UACGUAGGGUGCGAGCGUUGUCCGGAAUUAUUGGGCGUAAAGCGCUUGUAGGCGGUUUGUCGCGUCUGCUGUGAAAAUCCGGGGCUCAACCCCGGACUUGCAGUGGGUACGGGCAGACUAGAGUGUGGUAGGGGAGACUGGAAUUCCUGGUGUAGCGGUGAAAUGCGCAGAUAUCAGGAGGAACACCGAUGGCGAAGGCAGGUCUCUGGGCCGCUACUGACGCUGAGAAGCGAAAGCAUGGGGAGCGAACAGG
rnacentral:rRNA from 1 species